rnacentral:lncRNA from 1 species
CAGAAAUGAUUUUGGUUGACUGUUAAACAAAGAAAAUAAGCGGUCCACUGGCUCUUCUUACUCCUAUAAAUAAUCCAGCACAUGCAUGACAUAUUCACUCAUCCUUCUCUUCAACUAUCUCCCCUCUCCAUAUACCGAAUAAAUCCAUAGCACUACAGUCAUGGCAACAAGACUUCUCUUUGCUUCCGUACCCAAAGCCCACCCGAAGAGUAGCAAACCAUCACAACACCGCACUCCAUUUUCUGCAGUUGCAGCAUCCCGUUUUCUACAGAUCUCAAGACUUCAUGCUUCUAAAACUCUCGAGACAAUAUACGAAGAAGAAAUGACCACAUGCAGUGAAAGCAGAGAUGGUGUUGCAGAUGUAUUUACAAAUGCUUCACCUUUGCCUUCGGUUUCUGCCUCUUUUUUGCUAUCUAGCAGGUCGACAUGCUUAGUUAAAAUGCAGAAACACUUAUCGAAGAACUCUCACAACUUCCGAUGUGCUUAUGGUAGUAAUUAGUAUUCAUUUCUAUUGUUUGGUUAUAUUUAAAGGAUAUACGUUGGAAAAGUUAGAGUAUGUUGAAGAAGGAUAUCAAGAACUAUGGAAGGGUAAAUAUUGCUUGGGUCGUUAAGGUGGUGUUGUCAAUUUUAGCUUUGUGGCUUCACUCCUUGUUGGUCUUGCAUCGUUGGUCAUCCUGCUGAGGGGUUAUUUCAGGGAUCUCAUCAUAUGACUAUUUUGUUUAGAAACCCUUCUUGGAGCUAUGUUUGGGGGAAUAGCUUUUUGGUUCCCUAGACUUUUUUUUUUUUUUCGUGUCUUCUAUUUUAGUUUCGUGCAGUCGCUUCUUCUAUAUAUAUAAUUUGUAAUCUUAUGCAACAAAGUCGGAUUUUCUAAGUGUCAUUUCCUUGUAUUGGUGGAUGCACAACCUUUUCGAUCUCUAGGGUAUAAUGGAAGUUUAUUGUUGUAAACGUGAAUUUCUUAUAAGACAAUCAUGCAGUCAGUCAUGCUCUUGAUUAUUUUCCCUUUUCAUUUUCUGGUUCUUUCUGUUCAUUGAUGGCAUCCCACCAAAUAUACUAUUUUGUUAACCAUGUAAUUUUCAUCAUAAAAGAUAACAAAUAAUGUAAUAAUGAAGACGUGAAUUAGUUAAAAAUAAUAUUGAAAUAGAACAAUCAUUUUUGUUUUUAACUAAUCACUUACUCCACUCAAUAUAACAAUUCAAAGAGUGAAAGCAACUUUUACCUUUCAUUUACUAUUUAUAUAAUUUAUUUAUUUUGGUGUUGAAUUAGAUUUUUCUUAAAAAGAUCGGUCUUCACAUAACCAUGUCCUAGAGGCCAGGGAGAUGUUUGAGGUGAAACCGACUAAGAGCUAGACGUUUCAUGUUUGAGUUGUGGAUGUUCGAAGACCUAUAGAUCACAAAGAGAUCCGAUAGCAUCUCAAGAUUACGUUCUGAGGCAAGUUAGGGGGUAUUACUCAAGAGAGUAAAUGAGAACUUUAAAGAGAAUUUGGUAGUGAGAUGUUACUUGGUGAUCUCUUAUAUGUAAGAGGUAUUUAUAGUGUUGUCGAGGAGAAAAUGCUUGUCAUAAGGUAUGAUCUAUGUUCAUCUAUCGUGUAUAUUUUUUGCAGGUGACCCUGGGUGGCGCGAUCUCUUAGUAGAAUUAGGCAAGACUCUUUUGGCUUCAUCGUGCGGGUUUCGAAAUCGAUUGUUGUUGUGGUUGCUCAACCAUGAUAUAAGGUGAGAUUAUCCAUACUGGAGUAAGGGUUUGGUAUAGCCAAAUGCUAAGUCUCCUUCCAAUUUGGUAGGCAUAGCGAGAUCCUUUGGCCAACAUUCGAUUAUCGUACUUAUCUUAUCCUGAUAGACACAAUGAUUUUUUGUUAACCGACUAGUUGUUUUUAGUGUUAUCGAUGCUAAACAUGUGCCACAUGCAUGUGUUAAUUAUCGUAAUAAGAGAUUAUGUUUUCUUGAUGUGUGGUUUAAUAUACUAAAAUGUAAUCAAAAUUUUAAAUUUAUAAAACUGGUUUAUUCUCAAGUAGACUAAAACACACACCAAAAAACUCUGAAACAAUUGCCAUACGAAAAAGGGUUUCUAAUUAAAGGGAAAAAAGGAUUUAUGUCAAUGCUUAUCCAAUUAAUACUCGUUAAAGCACAAUUUUGGAUUUGUAUGCCGGACCAAUAUUUUUGUCUCACAAAAACUUUGGAUUGAAAUACAUAACUAAUCGACACCAAUGAACAUGGUUACUUUCCAAAUUCUUCUACAUGAUCAAUGUAGUUACUGUUAGUGUGUUUAUUGAAGGAGACCACAUUUUACCAUUCCAAAAUUUGUACAUCUUUCCAAAUUUCUUUUAUAAAGGAAGAAAACAAGUGAUACAAACAAAAAUAAAUAAAUAAAUAAUAAUAAUAAUAAUAGAGGACGACCAAAAUGAAUAAUACAAAGAUGUCAUCGUCAAUGAUAAAGAAUAUAAUAAUAAAGAUGACGGACACCAUGAAAGACAACGGCGUCAUUAUAACGCUCGUGAUGAGUGUAAUAAUAAUAAUAAUAAUAAUAAUAAUAAUAAUAAUAAUAAUAAUAACCGUUAAUAAUAAAGAAUAGAUAAUUAACAUUUAAUAAAUUAAACUUGAUUAUAAUGGAUUCAUAAGUUGGAAUUCAUAAGAUUUGUAGUUCAACACUAAUCAAAUAUUUAGUUUUUAAUGGAAAAAACCAAAUUUCGUAACAUUUAUAAAAUACGUGCCAUAGAAUUUUGUAUACGCUUUAUACAUUAGAGGACUUAAAUGGUAAAAUUGUAUUAAUUGUGGAAUGCUAAUAUAAUAAUUUAUUAAAUUUUAUAUAGUUCAAUUAAUACAAUUUUAAUACAAUUUUACCAUUUACGUCCUCUAAUGUAUAAAACAUAUAUAAAUUAAACCUGAUUAUAAUGUGGAAUGCUAAUAUAACGUUUUAGGUAUUAUAAGUUUUACUAUAAGUAUAUGUUUUGUUUAUUUUUAUAUAUUAAUAUCUAUUGGGGCCGGGUCGGACUAGGGGUAUCCUCAACCCCACUUUUUUAUGUGGAGAUUCUCAUCUUCGUCCCUAUCCCCGGUCAAAACGGGUGUAAGUUUCGAGUUCCCUCUCGGAUAUGGAGAUUUUUUCCAUCCCUAAGAAUAUCUUAAUAUUUAUCUAGUUUUGAAAAAAAAUAAUAUCAUAGUAAUAAAUUUGAAAAAAUAUGGAAAUAUAAACUAUAAAAGUUACUCUUUAAAGUCCAUAAAUAAUAUUAUGUGAGACAAAUAGAUUAGAAUAAAAAUAUAAUAAAAUAGUAUAAAUAUUAAUGAAAAAGGUAUAAUAAAAUAGUACAUAUUCUAUCGGAUAGAUAGAAUAAACAAAAAUAGAUUACUAUAAGAUUAUAACAAAAUAAUAUCAAAUAUUAAACUAAAAGAAUAUAAUAUAAUAAUACUUUAUGUCGGAUACAUAAAAUACAAUUAAAUUAUAUUAAGAUAAUAUCAUCUAUUAGAUUGAGUGGCGGACCCAUACCAAAAUUUUACCGGGAUCCAUUAUAUCGUUAAUAUUAUAUGAUCAAAAGAAACUCUAAAAAUUUGUUAUUUUUUAGUAGGCCAAAUGUAACUUUCUACUUAAAUAUAGUACUCCCUCCGUCGCAAUAUUAUUGUCCAUAGACAAAAAAACAUACAGAUUAAGAAAAGUAUUAACUACCACUAACUUUAUUUAAUAAAAUGACAGCUUUGCCCUUACUUUGUAUUUAAUGUUUCAUUAAAUGCUUAGUUAGUUAAAUAAUAAUGAGGGGUAUUUUGGUAAAAAUGUUAUUUAUUUUUAGAAGUGGAUUAUUAUUUUGAGACAAACCAAAAAGGAAAGAUGGACUAUAAUUUUAGGACGGAGGAAGUAUCAUUUUUAUAUAUAGUAUAUGUGUUGCGGCUACUUUAAAUGGGGNCUAAAAUGGGGUGCAUGCACCCCACUACUAACAUACUAAAUCCGCCACUAAUUAGAUAAACAUAGUAUAAUAAGAUAACACCUUAUGUAUACAGAAAGAUAAUAUAAAAAGAAUAAAAAUAAGAUAAUACAUUUUGUCAUGUUUUUUAUUAAUACAAAAGGAAAAAAAUACAAAACAAUUACAUUAACAUAAUUUAUUUGUCUCACAAAAAGUAUUGUAGUAAAUUUAUAUCCUAUGAUAAUACCUUUGUCAACGGUUAAAUUUACAGGAAAAUAAUAGUAAGAUAAUCAUCGGCGGAUUUAAGGGUCUCACUGGGGAGNNNNNNNNNNNNNNNNNNNNNNNNNNNNNNNNNNNNNNNNNUUCAUUGAUUAGUUACUUUUGUUUAAGUCAGGAAAUGAUUUUUAAGUUUUUUUUACACAUUGAGAUCCAAUGAAUCAGUUGUUGACAGUGUAGGGCUUUAGGCGAACAAUCCAACCUAUUUGAAAUAGUUUGUCUAUUUCUGAAAUAGUUUAUCUAUUUCUAAAUAGUUUACUCUUUGUCGGACAAUACUUUCACGAUAAUUAUUGUGUCUUCCUUGUCAUUGGCACUAAACCAAUGUUGGCUACGCUUAGGCACUAAUCACACGUCUAACGAGGGCAGACAAGCAUACCGUAUUAGCAUCACAAAAUGCAAUACAUGCAACUUUAAUGCCUAUGUUUUCCCGAUCAUCGACACAAAUCUAAUGCUGGCUGCGCUGCUAGCACCGUUCGCACAUCAAACAAGGAUUAGCAAAGCAUAUCAUGAUUGUAUUGCCAGCCAAACAACACCAUCCUGUACUACCAAGGUNNNNNNNNNNNNGGGGGGGGGGGGUCCCUGGCCACCACUCGAUUUUACGUCGUAGUGUGAAAACAAAUUUGUUAAAGUGCACCCAUUAAAAAAUAUGCAACUGAUAGUUUAAGGAGCAACUAAAGCCGUAAUUCAUGCUUUUGCCACCGAAGUUAAUACCAUUUUGUCAAACAUAAAUACAAUAAAGUUAUAAUAAUAUAAUAUUAUCAAACAUUAAGAAUGCCUUGAAAUUACACUAAGAUAAUACUUUCUCUUAAGAUUAUAUUACAAUAAGACAAUUUAAUAGACAAAUAGAAUACAAUAAUAUUACAUUAAGAUAAUACAUCUAUAAAUAAUAUAAUACGAUUCCUAAAACAUUCUUUUAACUAAAUAGAUAAAAUAUAAUAAAAUAAUAUAUUCUGUCGUACCAGAGAAUAAAUAAGAUUAUAAUAAGAUAAUAUUCUACGCUGUUUUAGUUUUUUUAAAUGGUUUUAUUGUCUAGAAUAUAUAGAUUUUUCUAAAGAUAAAGUUGUAAUUUCAUAAUAAUGUCAAAAUUUGGAAACUUUGCUUGUAAAUUAUCCUAAAUUAAUAAAAUCUUAAUUUUAUGAAUAACGACAACAAUUAUUACUAUUAUUGUUGUUUUAUCGCUUUUUAUUAACUAGUUACACAUAAUUCACGACAGACAAAUGUGAUUCCAUGUCGAUAGAAUUAACGAUCAAGUACUGGUGAAAUGAUUUUGGUUGACUGUAAAACAAAGAAAAUAGACGGUUCACUAACUCUUCUUACUCCUAUAAAUAAUCCAACACAUGCGUGACAUAUUCACUCAUCCUUCUCUUCCACUAUCUCCCCUCUCCAUAUACCGAAUAAAUCUGUAGCACUGCAGUCAUGGAAACAAGACUUCUCUUUGCUUUCGUACUCAAAGCCUACCCGAAGACUACCAAACCAUCACAACACCACACUCCAUUUUCUGCAGUUACAACAUCCCAUUUUCUACAGAUCUUGAGACUUCAUGCUUCUAAAACUCUCGAGACAAUAUACGAAGAAGAAAUGACUACAGACAGUGAAGCAGAGAUGGUGUUGUGGAUGUAUUUACAAGUGCUUCACAUUUGCCUUUAGUUUCUGCCUCUUUUUUGCUAUCCAGCAGGUCGAGAUGCUUAGUUAAAAUGCAUAAACACUUAUCUAAGAACUCCGACAACUUCCGAUGCGCUUAUGGUAGUAAUUAAUAUUUAUUUGUAUUGUUUGGUUAUAUUUAAAGGGUAUACAUUGGAAAAGUUAGAGUAUGUUGAAGAAGGCUAUCAAGAACUAUGGAAGGGUAAAUAUUUAUCGGAUCGUUAAGGUGGUGUUGUCUGUUUUAACUUUGUGGCUUCACUCCUUGUUGGUCUUACAUCUUGCUGAGGGGGUAUUUUAGGGAUCUCAUCAUAUUACCAUUUUUUAGAAACCCUUCUUGGAGCUAUGUUUGGGGGAAUAGCUUUUUGGUUCCCUAGACUUUUUCUUUCUUUUUUGUGUCUUCUAUUCUAGUUUCGUGCANUAUAGGGGAUAGGGAAUAUACAUUACAACCCCACCUAAGCUUAGGUACUAAACCUCUAAAAUAUGUCGUUUUAACUUGCUAAAUAUACCCGAUUUGGUUUCACUUGGUAAAUAUACCAUCCUCCAUAUCAUUUCUUUCUUUCAUUAUCGUUUUACCAUCUCUGUUUUCUUCACUCCAUUAUCGUUUAUUAGUUCACCAAAAUGAACAUUACUAAAACCUAAACCUAAACCCUAAACCCUAAAUCCUCAACCUAAUACCUAAACCCAUAAACCCUAAAUCCUAAACCCUAAACCUUAAACCCUAAACCUAAACCCUAAACCCUAAACCAUAAACCUAAACCCAAAACCCUAAACCCUAAACCUAAACCUAAACCCUAAACCCUAAACUCAAUUAUGUCGAUCUUGAAUUUACAUCUUGAAGUAUUAAUAGUGAAUCCAUUAACCGUAAUCUUUAUAUAGUAAAAAAAUGUAUUUUCAAGAGGUUUAGUACCUAAGCUUAGGUGGGGCUGUAAUGUAUGUAUAUUCCCUUUUCCCAUAUAUAUAUAUAUAUAUAUAUAUAUAUAUAUAUAUAUAUAGAAUNNNNNNNNNNNNNNNNNNNNNNNNNNNNNNNNNNNNNNNNNNNNNNNNNNNNNNNNNNNNNNNNNNCUAAGUGCCAUUUCCUUGUAUUGGUGGACGCACAACCUUUUAGAUAUGCAAGGUAUAAUGGAAGUUUAUUGUUGUAAACGUGAAUUUCUUAUAAGACAAUCAUG